rnacentral:rRNA from 1 species
CCUACGGGAGGCUGCAGUCGAGAAUCAUUCACAAUGGGGGAAACCCUGAUGGUGCGACGCCGCGUGGGGGAAUGAAGGUCUUCGGAUUGUAAACCCCAGUCAUGUGGGAGCAAAUGAAAAAGAUAGUACCACAAGAGGAAGAGACGGCUAACUCUGUGCCAGCAGCCGCGGUAAUACAGAGGUCUCAAGCGUUGUUCGGAAUCACUGGGCGUAAGGCGUGCGUAGGCUGUUUCGUAAGUCGUGUGUGAAAGGCGCGGGCUCAACCCGCGGACGGCACAUGAUACUGCGAGACUAGAGUAAUGGAGGGGGAACCGGAAUUCUCGGUGUAGCAGUGAAAUGCGUAGAUAUCGAGAGGAACACUCGUGGCGAAGGCGGGUUCCUGGACAUUAACUGACGCUGAGGCACGAAGGCCAGGGGAGCGAAAGGGAUUAGAUACCCGAGUAGUC